CCUACGGGAGGCAGCAGUCGAGAAUCAUUCACAAUGGGGGAAACCCUGAUGGUGCGACGCCGCGUGGGGGAAUGAAGGUCUUCGGAUUGUAAACCCCUGUCAUGUGGGAGCAAAUUAAAAAGAUAGUACCACAAGAGGAAGAGACGGCUAACUCUGUGCCAGCAGCCGCGGUAAUACAGAGGUCUCAAGCGGUGUUCGGAAUCACUGGGCGUAAAGCGUGCGUAGGCUGUUUUGUAAGUCGUGUGUGAAAGGAGCGGGCCCAACCCGCGGACGGCACAUGAUACUGCGAGACUAGAGUAAGGGAGGGGGAAGCGGAAUUCUCGGUGUAGCAGUGAAAUGCGUAGAUAUCGAGAGGAACACUCGUGGCGAAGGCGGGUUCCUGGACAUUAACUGACGCUGAGGCACGAAGGCCAGGGGAGCGAAAGGGAUUAGAUACCCGUGUAGUC
rnacentral:rRNA from 1 species